CCUACGGGCGGCUGCAGUGGGGAAUAUUGGACAAUGGGGGGAACCCUGAUCCAGCCAUGCCGCGUGUGUGAAGAAGGCCCUCGGGUUGUAAAGCACUUUCAGUGAGGAAGAACGCCUGGUGGUUAAUACCCAUCAGGAAAGACAUCACUCACAGAAGAAGCACCGGCUAACUCCGUGCCAGCAGCCGCGGUAAUACGGAGGGUGCGAGCGUUAAUCGGAAUUACUGGGCGUAAAGCGCGCGUAGGUGGCUUGAUAAGCCGGUCGUGAAAGCCCCGGGCUCAACCUGGGAACGGCAUCCGGAACUGUCAAGCUAGAGUGCAGGAGAGGAAGGUAGAAUUCCCGGUGUAGCGGUGAAAUGCGUAGAGAUCGGGAGGAAUACCAGUGGCGAAGGCGGCCUUCUGGACUGACACUGACACUGAGGUGCGAAAGCGUGGGUAGCAAACAGGAUUAGAUACCCUAGUAGUC
rnacentral:rRNA from 1 species